CGGGGUGUGGCGCAGCUUGGUAGCGCGCCCGCUUUGGGUGCGGGAGGUCCCCGGUUCAAAUCCGGGCACCCCGA
rnacentral:tRNA from 1 species